CCUACGGGUGGCAGCAGUCGAGAAUUUUUCUCAAUGGGGGAAACCCUGAAGGAGCGACGCCGCGUGGAGGAUGAAGGCUUUCGGGUUGUAAACUCCUGUCAUUUGAGAACUAGUAUCAGAAGAGGAAGAGACGGCUAACUCUGUGCCAGCAGCCGCGGUAAUACAGAGGUCUCAAGCGUUGUUCGGAUUCAUUGGGCGUAAAGGGUGCGUAGGUGGCGGGGUAAGUCAGGUGUGAAAUUUCGGAGCUCAACUCCGAAACUGCAUUUGAUACUGCCUUGCUUGAGGACUGGAGAGGAGACUGGAAUUUACGGUGUAGCAGUGAAAUGCGUAGAGAUCGUAAGGAAGACCAGUGGCGAAGGCGGGUCUCUGGACAGUCCUGACACUGAGGCACGAAGGCUAGGGGAGCAAACGGGAUUAGAUACCCUUGUAGUC
rnacentral:rRNA from 1 species